CGCUCCAAUAGCGUAUAUUAAAGUUGUUGCGGUUAAAAAGCUCGUAGUUGGAUUUCGGAAUGGGCCAGUUGGUCCGCCGCAAGGUGAGUUACUGACUGGUUUGUUCUUCUUCGCAAAGACUGCGUGUGCUCUUUACUGAGUGUACGUAGGAUUUACGACGUUUACUUUGAAAAAAUUAGAGUGUUCAAAGCAGGCUAUCGCUUGAAUACAUGAGCAUGGAAUAAUGGAAUAGGACUUUGGUUCUAUUUUGGGGGUGUCUAGGACCGAAGUAAUGAUUAAGAGGGACAAUUGGGGGCAUCCGUAUUUCGAUGUCAGAGGUGAAAUUCUUGGAUUUACGAAAGACGAACAACUGCGAAAGCACUUGCCAAGAGUGUUUUCA
rnacentral:rRNA from 1 species